rnacentral:lncRNA from 1 species
GCCCAUCUCAGCCACAUGGAGAUCCUUAGGCCUUGGGAUUUCGUCCCGGACCACCUCCAUUGCUUCAUGAUCCAGGCCCACCUUCGAAAGUACUUGAAACCCAGAUCCUCGCUUGGCCGAAUUGACUCAGCCUGCCUCAAAGGUCACCUGCCUCUUCUCCGACGAUCACCGUCUGGCAAAUUUCGUCGGCUUUUGCCAUCUAUUAGAAUCUAGUGGAGAAACCGGCGAGCUUCCCUGCGCUCUAGGCAAGCUCGGGCG